rnacentral:rRNA from 1 species
UGACCCCGUAACUUCGGGAGAAGGGGUGCUCUGUUAGGGUGCAAGCCCGAGAGAGCCGCAGUGAAUAGGCCCAGGCGACUGUUUAGCAAAAACACAGGUCUCUGCGAAGUCGUAAGGCGAAGUAUAGGGGCUGACGCCUGCCCGGUGCUGGAAGGUUAAGAGGAGCGCUUAGCGUAAGCGAAGGUGCGAAUUGAAGCCCCAGUAAACGGCGGCCGUAACCAUAACGGUCCUAAGGUAGCGAAAUUCCUUGUCGGGUAAGUUCCGACCCGCACGAAAGGCGCAACGAUCUGGGCACUGUCUCAACGAGAGACUCGGUGAAAUUAUAGUACCUGUGAAGAUGCAGGUUACCCGCGACAGGACGGAAAGACCCCGUGGAGCUUUACUGCAGCCUGAUAUUGAAUGUUGGUACAGCUUGUACAGGAUAGGUAGGAGCCUUGGAAACCGGAGCGCCAGCUUCGGUGGAGGCAUCGGUGGGAUACUACCCUGGCUGUAUUGACCUUCUAACCCGCCGCCCUUAUCGGGCGGGGAGACAGUGUCAGGUGGGCAGUUUGACUGGGGCGGUCGCCUCCUAAAAGGUAACGGAGGCGCCCAAAGGUUCCCUCAGAAUGGUUGGAAAUCAUUCGCAGAGUGUAAAGGCACAAGGGAGCUUGACUGCGAGACCUACAAGUCGAGCAGGGACGAAAGUCGGGCUUAGUGAUCCGGUGGUUCCGCAUGGAAGGGCCAUCGCUCAACGGAUAAAAGCUACCCCGGGGAUAACAGGCUUAUCUCCCCCAAGAGUCCACAUCGACGGGGAGGUUUGGCACCUCGAUGUCGGCUCAUCGCAUCCUGGGGCUGUAGUCGGUCCCAAGGGUUGGGCUGUUCGCCCAUUAAAGCGGUACGCGAGCUGGGUUCAGAACGUCGUGAGACAGUUCGGUCCCUAUCCGUCGCGGGCGCAGGAAAUUUGAGAGGAGCUGUCCUUAGUACGAGAGGACCGGGAUGGACGCACCGCUGGUGUACCAGUUGUUCUGCCAAGGGCAUCGCUGGGUAGCUAUGUGCGGACGGGAUAAGUGCUGAAAGCAUCUAAGCAUGAAGCCCCCCUCAAGAUGAGAUUUCCCAUUCCGCAAGGAAGUAAGAUCCCUGAAAGAUGAUCAGGUUGAUAGGUCUGAGGUGGAAGUGUGGCGACACAUGGAGCUGACAGAUACUAAUCGAUCGAGGACUUAACC